rnacentral:lncRNA from 1 species
AUGUAUUCAAAAGAUCUGUCUAUCUUUUAGUCGUAAUAUAAGAUUGAUGAACAGUAACAUAGAGCUGAAUAGCCCUGAGGAUGUGUUCCUUAAACCUGGAACACUAAUGUGCAGUUAGGUAAUACUGUCACUGUCACUUUUGCAUUAGUCUAAAUCACAAAGCAGUCUGAAAUAUUCAUAAAAUAUUUUACUUAAUGUGCAAACUGAGAUGUAAUAAGCUAAGGAACACUAAAACUGAUCUAAUAUUAUCUUCUUAUCAUGUCUAAAAAUAGUCAGCUGAAUUAUUUUACAACAAAUUAGAGUUGUUGUUGUUUUUUUGUUUUUUUGUGUUUUUGUUUGUUUUUUUGGGGGGGGGGGGUUAUUCUAAGGUCCAUCCAAAUACAACAUUAUUUUUUGUAAACAUUUCACAGAUGUGACAGAUGCAUGGGAGGGAAAUAAGACGUAUGUCCUCCUGUCAAAAAUCGGACCAUACAAGAUAUUCUUUCAAGACAUUUACAAUACAGCUCCCCAAAGGGAACUAGAAAGUGAGGUAAAGUGACAUUUCUUUCUUUUUGUUUUUAUGCUUUCCAACAAAAAUUGUUUGUAGCAUAACUAACUUUAUUUAAUUAAUUUAAAAAUGUAAAUCAAUUAUUUUAAAUCUCUUGUUGUAAUUCCAGGUUAUUAAUGCCUAUCUGACUGUCUUGGUAAGUAAAUUCAACCAAGACAGUGCUGAAAAAGCAUUUGUGGUUGAUACCUAUGAAAUGACAUGGGUAUGGAAGCGGAAUAAGCCAAAAAUUAAGGUAUUAAACAAUAUUCUGUCAUUAAGUUGUCCUUAAAGGCUUUGUAAUAUGUAUUAUCAAUGAGGUGGGUCUAUUUAACUUGUUUUUUUUAAUGUGUUACAGAUUGACCCAGUCUUCUACAAGUAUAUUUUGGGAGUUGUCAAUGAAGGUCAUCACUGGAUGCUGGUGGUUUUUCAUGAGACACAGAGGGCUUAAUGCAUCAAGAUGGGCAUGUGACACACUGCCUCAUCCUAUUCAACAGGAUGCAACUUCAUGUGGUGCCUACGUAUUGAAGGUAUGUGUAAGAGCAUGACUGAAAUAAACACAAUGUUAGCUUUUGAAUAAAAGGCAUGCAGAAUAUGGAGCAAUAAAGACCAGCUCUUGGAC